ACAUUGGUGGGCCAGUAGUAGAAUUCUCGCCUUCCAUGCAGGAGACCCAGGUUCAAUUCCUGGCCAAUACA
rnacentral:tRNA from 1 species